GUUAAGCAAUAAGCAAUUAAAGCCAAAAAGAAAAAAAGUGUGAGAGAGAAGAAACAUAGGAGAAGAAAAUUAUGGAAGAAGAGCCCUUCGUUGCAGACAUAUCAGUAUUACCAGAGGGAUGCAUAUCGGACAUAGUUUCAUUGACGAGUCCUAAGGAUGCUUGCAGACUGUGUGCGGUUUCUCAUAUAUUCCAUGCGGCUGCAGAGUCCAACGCUGUCUGGGAGAGGUUCUUGCCGUCCGAUUAUCAAGCCAUCAUUGCUCGAUCAUCAUCAUCAUCAUCGGAUAUCUUGAAUUUUUCUUCUAAGAAAAAGAUCUACCUCAGUCUCUCCGAUAACCCCAUCCUAAUUGACGACUCUAAAAAGAGCUUUUUCUUGGACAAAUCGAGUGGUAAGAAAUGUUACCUACUUGCUGCAAGGGAGCUGUGCAUUAUAUGGAGUGGCUCUCCUCAGUAUUGGAACUGGAUUUCUCUACCUGAAGAAUCCAGGUUCCCAGAGGUAGCUGAACUUUUAAAUGUGUGUUGGCUUGAUAUCUGUGGCAAGAUGAGUACUUCCAUGCUGUCUCCGAAUACAAACUAUGCUGCUUACCUUGUGUACAAGUUGACGGAGGGAGCCUAUGGAUUUGAUCGCAUUCCUCCAACAGUUUCAGUUGGAACUACUGAAGAAGGCGAAGUUUGUAAGCAAACUGUUUUUUUGGGUCAGCGGCAGCAACACACUUCGCCUCCAAGUCAGAGAAAAGAUGGAUGGUUAGAGAUUAAGUUGGGUGAGUAUUUCAAUGAGGAAGGAAAAGAUUAUGAACUGCAGAUUAGACUUUUGGAGGGAGACUCUCGUCAGUGGAAGAGGGGCCUCAUUGUUGAAGGGAUCGAGAUCAGGCCGACAAAGGGGGCAGGACAAAGGUCCAAAACUCCUAGGAGGUCGCUGGCUCUAUUCCUGAAGCAUGUGUUUUUACCUAUCAAAAAAAAAUUUAUUUAGGGGGCAGGACAAGAUCAGCAGGGGACUCCACUACAAGCAAAAGCAUUUGCCUUGAGGUUAGAUAUAUGUUCAUGUCACGCCUCCCUUACUGAGCAAGUGGUAUGCUCACCCUUAACAUUUUCAGUGAGCAGGUAUAUAUUUUCCCUUUGCAGCUAAAAGUCUCAACAGUGGAGGAGUUUAUGUAGGAGUCAUGAUGGAAAUGUUAUUGUAUUUUAAGACACUGAGUACCUAGAUAGUUAUGAUGUAUGGUAGUGGGAGAUGGAACAAUUUUAACGAUGGCUAUGUAAAAAUAAAUUCUGUUGUGCUAUGUAUAUUGAGGUUACCUAAUCA